UCGAGAAUCUUCGGCAAUGGGCGAAAGCCUGACCGAGCGACGCCGCGUGCGGGAUGAAGGCCCUCGGGUUGUAAACCGCUGUCAGUGGGGAGGAAGGCUCUGUGAAGAGCAGGGUUUGACCUAUCCGCAGAGGAAGUCCGGGCUAAGUUCGUGCCAGCAGCCGCGGUAACACGAACCGGACAAACGUUAUUCGGAAUCACUGGGCUUAAAGGGUGCGUAGGCGGUCUGACAAGUUGGGUGUGAAAUCCCUCGGCUCAACCGAGGAAUUGCGCUGAAAACUGUUGGGCUCGAGGGAGUUAGAGGUAAGCGGAACUUAGGGUGGAGCGGUGAAAUGCGUGGAUAUCCUAAGGAACACCAGUGGCGAAAGCGGCUUACUGGAGCUCUUCUGACGCUGAGGCACGAAAGCUAGGGG
rnacentral:rRNA from 1 species